GGCCAGGUAGCUCAGUUAGAGUGUCCCUCUGAUACAGCAAGGUUGUGGGUUUGAUUCCCACUCAGGGCA
rnacentral:tRNA from 1 species